rnacentral:rRNA from 1 species
GAUGAACGCUGGCGGCGUGCCUAAUACAUGCAAGUCGAGCGAACAGACGAGGAGCUUGCUCCUCUGACGUUAGCGGCGGACGGGUGAGUAACACGUGGAUAACCUACCUAUAAGACUGGGAUAACUUCGGGAAACCGGAGCUAAUACCGGAUAAUAUAUUGAACCGCAUGGUUCAAUAGUGAAAGACGGUUUUGCUGUCACUUAUAGAUGGAUCCGCGCCGCAUUAGCUAGUUGGUAAGGUAACGGCUUACCAAGGCAACGAUGCGUAGCCGACCUGAGAGGGUGAUCGGCCACACUGGAACUGAACCACGGUCCAGACUCCUACGGGAGGCAGCAGUAGGGAAUCUUCCGCAGUGGGCGAAAGCCUGACGGAGCAACGCCGCGUGAGUGAUGAAGGUCUUCGGAUCGUAAAACUCUGUUAUUAGGGAAGAACAAAUGUGUAAGUAACUAUGCACGUCUUGACGGUACCUAAUCAGAAAGCCACGGCUAACUACGUG